GCCAGGGUGGCGGAAUAGGCAGACGCAACUGACUUAAAAUCAGUCACUUAUACGGUGUGCGGGUUCGAGUCCCGUCCCUGGUACCA
rnacentral:tRNA from 1 species